rnacentral:rRNA from 1 species
CGGCGAGUGAAGCGGCAACAGCUCAAAUUUGAAAGCUGGCUCCUUUGGAGUCCGCGUUGUAAUUUGUAGAGGAUGAUUCGGCAAGGGCUCCCGCCUAAGUCUCCUGGAACGGAGCGUCAUAGAGGGUGAGAAUCCCGUAUGCGGUGGGCUGCCUAAGCCAUGUGAAUCUCCUUCGACGAGUCGAGUUGUUUGGGAAUGCAGCUCUAAAUGGGAGGUAAAUUUCUUCUAAAGCUAAAUACCGGCCAGAGACCGAUAGCGCACAAGUAGAGUGAUCGAAAGAUGAAAAGCACUUUGGAAAGAGAGUUAAAAAGUACGUGAAAUUGUUGAAAGGGAAGCGCUUGCAGCCAGACUUGUCCGCAGUUGCUCAGCCGGUCUCCUGACCGGUGUACUCUUCUGCGGCCAGGCCAGCAUCAGUUCGGGCGGUCGGAUAAAGACCUCGGGAAUGUAGCUCCUCUCGGGGAGUGUUAUAGCCCGGGGUGGAAUGCGGCCAGCCUGGACUGAGGAUCUCGCUUCGGCUAGGAUGCUGGCGUAAUGGCUGUAAGCGGC